rnacentral:tRNA from 1 species
GCGGAAGUGGCGGAACUGGCAGACGCGCUAGACUAAGGAUCUAGUGGGGUAAUACCCGUGGAGGUUCGAGUCCUCUCUUCCGCA